AAUAAAACUGUUUGCUGUAAGUGAAGGUCUGUGUUUUUGUGUUUUAGAUGGUCUGAUUAUGCAUGGAUGGAUUGCUUUGUACAAGAGAAGGUAACUGAAUGGCAGCUUCCAGAACUUGUAAAUAGUUUUGAAGGAAACAUGGUAUGCCCAAUGCCGAAAUAAUAGACCAGCCGCUGGGUUCACUGAAGAGAGACUGAGGAACAUACGAAAGUGACUGAGGCGCUUGAGGCGACCACAAGGAGAGACAGAGGAUGCACCAUGCAGGACAGUCAUGCCAGAUGCAAAGGUAAAUCUUGCACUAAAGCUGUUAUCUGUUUUGCUUCCACCUCCACCCUACAAAAUUGGGAGAAAAACAGUCCGGCCCAGCAUUGAUGAAAGAACAGUGGAGAUUUGUAUGCUUA